CCUACGGGAGGCAGCAGUGGGGAAUAUUGCACAAUGGGGGACACCCUGAUGCAGCGACGCCGCGUGAGUGAAGCAGUAUUUCGGUAUGGAACGCUCUAUCAGCAGGGAAGACAAUGACGGUACCUGACUAAGAAGCACCGGCUAACUACGUGCCAGCAGCCGCGGUCAUACGUAGGGGGCAAGCGUUAUCCGGAUUUACUGGGUGUAAAGGGAGCGUAGAAGGCCAGACAAGUCAGAAGUGAAAGCCCAGGGCUCAACCCUGGGACUGCUUUUGAAACUGCCGGGCGAGAGUGCAGGAGAGGUAAGCGGAAUUCCUAGUGUAGCGGUGAAAUGCGUAGAUAUUAGGAGGAACACCAGUGGCGAAGGCGGCUUACUGGACUGUAACUGACGUUGAGGCUCGAAAGCGUGGGGAGCAAACAGGAUUAGAUACCCUUGUAGUC
rnacentral:rRNA from 1 species